rnacentral:rRNA from 1 species
UACGUAGGGGGCGAGCGUUGUCCGGAAUCAUUGGGCGUAAAGAGCGUGUAGGCGGCUCGGUAAGUCCGCUGUGAAAGCCCAGAGCUCAACUCUGGAAUUGCCUUUGAGACUGAGUGGCUUGAGUACGAGAGAGGUGAGUGGAAUUCCCAGUGUAGAGGUGAAAUUCGUAGAUAUUGGGAAGAACACCGGUGGCGAAGGCGGCUCACUGGCUCGUAACUGACGCUCAUGCACGACAGCGUGGGGAUCAAACAGG